rnacentral:rRNA from 1 species
CCUACGGGAGGCAGCAGUGGGGAAUAUUGCACAAUGGGGGGAACCCUGAUGCAGCGACGCCGCGUGAGUGAAGAAGUAUUUCGGUAUGUAAAGCUCUAUCAGCAGGGAAGAAAAUGACGUUACCUGACUAAGAAGCCCCGGCUAACUACGUGCCAGCAGCCGCGGUAAUACGUAGGGGGCAAGCGUUUUCCGGAUUUACUGGGUGUAAGGGGAGCGUAGACGGCAGAGCAAGUCUGAAGUGAAAGCCCGCGGCCCAACGGCGGGACUGACAUUGAAACUGCCGGGCUAUAUGGCUGGAGAGGAAAGCGGAAUUGCUAGGGUAGCGGGGAAAUGCGUAGAUAUUAGGAGGAACACCAGUGGAGAAGGCGGCCUACUGGACGACAACUGACGGUGAGGCUCGAAAGCGUGGGGAGCAAACAGGAUUAGAUACCCCAGUAGUC